rnacentral:misc_RNA from 1 species
GGAAAACAACACUCGCUGCUGCAGAUGAGAAGACUGAGGAAGUGAAGCCAAAGACAGAAACAGAGGUGGAAGAACCUUCAGCUGCAGCUUAGGUCCGAUGAAACAUUCCAGUUGGUUGGUAUACUAUUUAUUUUCCCUCAGUUGAGCACCAAGGUCAGUAAUAAUCUGCAGAAACUUUUCUUGAGUCUGGAAUUGGAUUGAAAUUUGUGUGGUGGAAAGUGACGUUGAGUCGGUUGGUAAAGUCAGUCCCUUUGGUGGGUAUGGGUUUUGUUGUUGGAUUAGAAGGAGAUUUCUGCUUUUGUGCGAAGGUAGUAGUUUUGUUGGGUGAACAGUCCUCGAGUUACUUGUGUUUAAAGUUUGGAUUUGUUAUUGGUACUGAGUUUGGUUUUUGAGUGU